GACGAACGCUGGCGGCGUGCUUAACACAUGCAAGUCGAACGGAAAGGCCCUGCUUUUGUGGGGUGCUCGAGUGGCGAACGGGUGAGUAACACGUGAGUAACAUGUCCUUGACUUUGGGAUAACUUCAGGAAAAUGGGGCUAAUACCGGAUAGGAGCUCCUGCAGCAUGGUGGGGGUUGGAAAGUUUCGGCGGUUGGGGAUGGACUCGCGGCUUAUCAGCUUGUUGGGGGGGUAGUGGCUUUCCAAGGCUUUGACGGGUAGCCGGCCUGGGAGGGUGACCGGCCACAUUGGGACUGAGAUACGGCCCAGACUCCUACGUGAGGCAGCAGUGGGGAAUAUUGCACAAUGGGCGGAAGCCUGAUGCAGCAACGCCGCGUGCGGGAUGACGGCCUUCGGGUUGUAAACCGCUUUCGCCUGUGACGAAGCGUGAGUGACGGUAAUGGGUAAAGAAGCACCGGCUAACUACGUG
rnacentral:rRNA from 1 species